GGAGUUGUGGCUUAGUGGUAAAGCACUUGCCUAGCAUGUGUGAGGCACUGGGUUCAAUUCUCAGCACCA
rnacentral:tRNA from 1 species